rnacentral:rRNA from 1 species
UAAAAACAUGGCUCCUUGAUAACUAAUAAUAAGGAGUCGGACCUGCCCAGUGAAUUUUUUCAACGGCCGCGGUACUCUGACCGUGCAAAGGUAGCAUAAUCAUUUGCCUUAUAAUUGAAGGCUAGUAUGAAUGGUUUGACAAGAAUAUAGCUGUCUCUUUAUAGUUUAGCAGAAUUUUAUUUUUAGGUGAAGAAGCUUAAAUUAGAUUAAAAGACAAGAAGACCCUAUCGAGCUUGAAAGAAUUUAAUAGAAUUUUAAGUUCAUUAAAUUAAAAAAUUAUCUAUUAAAAACUUUAGUUGGGGCGACUGAGGAACAUAUAAAGCUUCCUUUAUUAAAGUUAUUCAUACUUGAAUUGAUCCAAAACAUAUUUUGAUUAAAGGAAAUAGUUACCGUAGGGAUAACAGCAUUAUCUUUUUUAAGAGCUCUUAUCGAAAAAAAGGUUUGUGACCUCGAUGUUGGACCAGAAUAUCCUAAAGGUGCAGCAGCCUUUAAAGGUUGGUCUGUUCGACCAUUAAAAUUCUACGUGA